UAACGGUAAGUUUUCGUGUGCACUGGA
rnacentral:sRNA from 1 species